AGUUUGAUCCUGGCUCAGGAUGAACGCUAGCUACAGGCUUAACACAUGCAAGUCGAGGGGCAGCAUUGGAGUAGCAAUACUUCAGAUGGCGACCGGCGCACGGGUGAGUAACACGUAUCCAACCUGCCGCUUACUCGGGGAUAGCCUUUCGAAAGAAAGAUUAAUACCCGAUGGUAUAAAGAGUUCGCAUGUUCUCUUUAUUAAAGAAUUUCGGUAAGCGAUGGGGAUGCGUUCCAUUAGAUUGUUGGCGGGGUAACGGCCCACCAAGUCUACGAUGGAUAGGGGUUCUGAGAGGAAGGUCCCCCACAUUGGAACUGAGACACGGUCCAAACUCCUACGGGAGGCAGCAGUGAGGAAUAUUGGUCAAUGGACGAGAGUCUGAACCAGCCAAGUAGCGUGAAGGAUGACUGCCCUAUGGGUUGUAAACUUCUUUUAUAAGGGAAUAAAGUGAGGGACGUGUCCCUUUUUGUAUGUACCUUAUGAAUAAGGAUCGGCUAACUCCGUGCCAGCAGCCGCGGUAAUACGGAGGAUCCAAGCGUUAUCCGGAUUUAUUGGGUUUAAAGGGAGCGUAGGUUGACAUAUAAGUCAGCUGUGAAAGUUUACGGCUCAACCGUGAAAUUGCAGUUGAUACUGUAUGUCUUGAGUGUACAAGAGGUGGGCGGAAUUCGUGGUGUAGCGGUGAAAUGCUUAGAUAUCACGAAGAACUCCAAUUGCGAAGGCAGCUCACUGGGGUACAACUGACACUGAGGCUCGAAAGUGUGGGUAUCAAACAGGAUUAGAUACCCUGGUAGUCCACACAGUAAACGAUGAAUACUCGCUGUUUGCGAUAUACAGUAAGCGGCCAAGCGAAAGCAUUAAGUAUUCCACCUGGGGAGUACGCCGGCAACGGUGAAACUCAAAGGAAUUGACGGGGGCCCGCACAAGCGGAGGAACAUGUGGUUUAAUUCGAUGAUACGCGAGGAACCUUACCCGGGCUUGAAUUGCAGAGGAACAUAGUUGAAAGAUUAUGGCCGCAAGGUCUCUGUGAAGGUGCUGCAUGGUUGUCGUCAGCUCGUGCCGUGAGGUGUCGGCUUAAGUGCCAUAACGAGCGCAACCCUUAUCAUUAGUUACUAACAGGUCAUGCUGAGGACUCUAGUGAGACUGCCGUCGUAAGAUGUGAGGAAGGUGGA
rnacentral:rRNA from 1 species